rnacentral:rRNA from 1 species
ACAUGCAAGUCGAACGGACCUAACCAUUAGUUUACUAUUGGAGCGGUUAGUGGCGGACUGGUGAGUAACACGUAAGCAACCUGCCUAUCAGAGGGGAACAACAGUUAGAAAUGACUGCUAAUACCGCAUAUGCCUUAGAAUCACAUGGUUCAAAAGGGAAAGGAGCAAUCCGCUGAUAGAUGGGCUUGCGUCUGAUUAGAUAGUUGGUGAGGUAACGGCCCACCAAGUCGACGAUCAGUAGCCGGACUGAGAGGUUGAACGGCCACAUUGGGACUGAGAUACGGCCCAGACUCCUACGGGAGGCAGCAGUCGGGAAUAUUGCGCAAUGGAGGAAACUCUGACGCAGUGACGCCGCGUGCAGGAAGAAGGUUUUCGGAUUGUAAACUGCUUUAGACAGGGAAGAUACAAGACAGUACCUGUAGAAUAAGCUCCGGCUAACUACGUGCCAGCAGCCGCGGUAAUACGUAGGGAGCAAGCGUUAUCCGGAUUUAUUGGGUGUAAAGGGUGCGUAGACGGGAAAACAAGUUAGUUGUGAAAUCCCUCGGCUUAACUGAGGAACUGCAACUAAAACUAUUUUUCUUGAGUGCUGGAGAGGAAAGUGGAAUUCCUAGUGUAGCGGUGAAAUGCGUAGAUAUUAGGAGGAACACCAGUGGCGAAGGCGACUUUCUGGACAGUAACUGACGUUGAGGCACGAAAGUGUGGGGAGCAAACAGGAUUAGAUACCCUGGUAGUCCACACCGUAAACGAUGGAUACUAGGUGUAGGGGAUGAAUAAUCCUCUGUGCCGUCGCAAACGCAGUAAGUAUCCCACCUGGGG